rnacentral:rRNA from 1 species
UACGUAGGUGGCAAGCGUUAUCCGGAUUUACUGGGCGUAAAGGGUCCGACGGUGGGACAGGCAGUCUGGUGUGACAUCUCCCGGCUUAACUGGGAGGGUGCGCCGGAAACUCCUGUUCUUGAGUCAUGCAGAGGGGGGCGGAAUUCCCGGUGUAGUGGUGGAAUGCGUAGAGAUCGGGAGGAACCCCAACGGCGCAAGCAGCCCCCUGGGCAAGGACUGACACUCAAGGACGAAAGCGUGGGGAGCGAACAGG